CGGGUGAGUAAGCGUGGAUAACCUGCCUCACACUGGGGGAUAACAGUUAGAAAUGACUGCUAAUACCGCAUAAGCGCACAGUACCGCAUGGUACAGUGUGAAAAACUCCGGUGGUGUGAGAUGGAUCCGCGUCUGAUUAGCCAGUUGGCGGGGUAACGGCCCACCAAAGCGACGAUCAGUAGCCGACCUGAGAGGGUGACGGCCACAUUGGGACUGAGACACGGCCCAA
rnacentral:rRNA from 1 species